rnacentral:lncRNA from 1 species
UAUCACUUGAUGGUGGAUUGGAUGGUGAUGACGGAGUUGGAGUUUGUUUUGGCUGUGGCUUUGGUGUAGGCUUCUCACUUGGUGGUGGAUUGGACGGGGUUGGAGUUGGUUUUGGUUGUGGCUUUGGUGUAGGCUUCUCACUUGGGGGUGGAUUGGAUGGAGUUGGAGUUGGUUUGGGUUGUGGCUUUGGUGUAGGCUUCUCAUUUGGUGUGGGAUUGGAUGGUGAUGGGGUUGGUUUGGAUUGUGGCUUCUCACUUGGUGUUGAAGGUGUAGGUGUUGGCUUUGGAUUUGGUGUUGACGGUGUUGGCUUUGGUGAAGAUUUGGAAGGUGUAGGUGUUGGCUUUGGUGUUGAUGGUGUUGGCUUUGGUGAAGGGUUGGAAGGUGUAGGUGUAGGUUUGGGUUGUGGCUUUGAGGGAGAUGGGGUAGGUUGUGGUUGUGGCUUUGGCACCGAAGGCGUUGGGUUCUCGCUUGGAGGAUUUGAAGGAGUUGAAGGUUUUGGCUCUGGCUUUGGAACAUAAGGUGUUGGUGUUUGAUGUUGAUCACUUGGUGGGGAAUGUGAGUGAGAUUGGCUACCUUUAGUACAUUGUGCCUUGCUACAAUCAACAGGUUUGCUUAUAACAACAUUGCAAUCAUUUGCUGUCUUUUGUUUUGGUCUGUCAGGUACACAAUUAUAACUAUCAUCCAACAAAAUGUCUUUUCCAGGAGGCACACAACCUUCUUCCUCACCAUUGAAAUAGUUAUUUGAGAAUGUAAAGUUACCCAAAUUAGACAAACUACAGAUAUUUUUUGGAACAAAACCUGUUAGUUUGUUAUGUGCAAUAGACAAAAUUUCCACUUUCUUGAGUCCCUUACAUGUCUUUGGCAACAUACCGACAAACAAAUUUUGACUCACGUCAAAAACAGUGACUUGUUCAAGCUUUCCCAUUUCUGAAGGCAAACAACCG